GACGAACGCUGGCGGCGUGCCUAACACAUGCAAGUCGAGCGAAUGAAGUUCCUUCGGGAACGGAUUUAGCGGCGGACGGGUGAGUAACACGUGGGCAACCUGCCUCCUAGAGGGGAAUAGCCUUCCGAAAGGGAGAUUAAUACCGCAUAAGAUUGUAGUACCGCAUGGUACAGCAAUUAAAGGAGCAAUCCGCUAUGAGAUGGGCCCGCGGCGCAUUAGCUAGUUGGUGAGGUAACGGCUCACCAAGGCGACGAUGCGUAGCCGACCUGAGAGGGUGAUCGGCCACAUUGGGACUGAGACACGGCCCAGACUCCUACGGGAGGCAGCAGUGGGGAAUAUUGCACAAUGGGGGAAACCCUGAUGCAGCAACGCCGCGUGAGUGAUGACGGCCUUCGGGUUGUAAAGCUCUGUCUUCAGGGACGAUAAUGACGGUACCUGAGGAGGAAGCCACGGCUAACUACGU
rnacentral:rRNA from 1 species